AAAGUCAAAUAUUAGUAUGAACAUUACAUCAAAAGUAUAUUUAAUAAAAGUCUGAAUGUCGAAUAUGUUUGUAUACAUGUUAUGUAGAUGAAUUACAUCUAUAAAAUUGGCACAUUGUAAGUUUCAACGUUUCUACUGUUAAGUAUAAAAAAUUAAAAAAAGGUAAGAGUAGAUUUCCCGAGAGAACAGAGCACCCCAAAUACAGCCAGAGAGCCAUGUGUAUAAUAUUAUAAGAUUCUUUCACUGGUUGUAGCUGCAGAUGGGAAUGUCCGGCCUCCAGGGUUACUAAACAGUUACCCGAGAGCCGGAUAUUCCUAUAUGCACCUAUAACCAGUGACAGAAUCUUUUACUUGCAUACCGAUAUCAAGAAAUAAUAAUAAAAAUAAAAUCAAUCGAACGGUUCUUUUUAGAACGAUUUCUUAUAGCAGCGUAUUUAAACAAAGCGCGGGAAAUCAACGUCCGUAAACAGAAAAAAACGUCAUCACGUUUCAAAAACAAAUAACAAUGUUUAGUUCCGGUUUUGUUUUAUCAGGUGCAGCGUAACGUUAUGAUUUUUUUGAUAAAAUAACAUUGUUUUGAAUCGAGAAAUAUACCAUCAGGAAAAAAGAGGAGCUGUCUAGGUAUUGGAUUUGUAUUUCGUUUUUGAAAUAAAAUCACUUACUACAUAAAUCUUCCACAUAUAUAUGUAGUUCGUAAUACGUCAUUUAAAGCACGAGAGCCAUCUUACACCCCGUGGUGUAAGAUGGAUUUUUCCAGCACCGGUAAAAAUACCGGAAAUCCCCGUCUGGUAUGCAAGAAUUAUCUCUGUUUUACGCACUGAAGCUAUAGAAAACAAUAAUGUUGCAAUAAUCACGAAGUUUUCAUUGCAUAGUCUACUGUGCAAAGUAAUAUUAAUGGAAAGUUUAUAUUUCAGCUGGAAAAAACGAUGAAAAUGACAAGAGUGAUAGUUUUGCAAAGAUAUUUCUUCUUGGAAUGCUCGCUGGUGUAGGUGUUUGUCUGCUUAGUCUUGUGGCUUUUGUAGCCGUCCGCCAAAUAAAACAAAGAAGGAAACAACCAAAUGGAAGCCAAAUUGGCAGGGAGGAACGACCAUAUGUAAAUACCACCGUAACGAUGCAAGCUGUCUCCUCUACAGUGACAGAGUGUAGCACUAAGAAUAUAGGAUCUAAUAAUACAUCAGAUGAAACAUCCCGAAGUGUGUACGACAGUUUAGAUGGUGACAAACGCGAUGAUCGACAUCUGUACAGCGGACUGGAAAGACCGACAGAUCGUCAUGGUACUAGUUAUGCAAAUUUAUGAAAUCGCUUAGGCAACGAUAUAUCUUCAUUACAAACACAGAUGUCUUAGUGUUAAAGAAUGUUACAGCUAAAACAACAAAGACAGAGAUCAUAUUCAGAUAACACAGCCCUUCUUAAGUAAAAGACCUAUAGCAGUGUAUACAUAUACUUUGAUAAAAUGUACAACAAAGCACACAGACACCAUCAAACAUCGAAGACAAAACAACCAAAUAAAUGAAGGGUCAUAGUGGGACUCAUCUUUGAACAUUCUUAGGCAAAAACACCGCUUGGUAUGUUACACUGGUUAAUGGUGCACCUUAGUCUUAAACCUUAAAGUGUUAUUUUUUAAUUUUAAAAAGAGCAAAAAGUCCGAGUUUUAUAUUGAAUGUGUUCUAUAAUAAACAAUUUAUAUGAGACGAUAAAAAGGUCAGAAAUGCUGAGUGUGAGCGAUCAGUCAUUAAACAAAUACAUAUUACAUAUCCUGUCUUGUUAAAAUCAAACAGUAUUGAAUUUUCAUCUUGUCAUCUUGUCAUUAACACAAAGUAAGGCAGUGUCCAUAUUUUCUUUCUCAACUAUUCAAAUUUUGUUAUAAAUGUUAUGUCUGUUGUAUUUUAUGCUGUUAGUUUUUUUUCCAGUCGCAUAAAAUACAUACCUGGUGUUGAUAAAGCAAAUUGUCUGCUGUAUUUUUCCGUGUAAGUGUCACAUUUGAGGAAGGUUUACAGCGGUAGCCUGUAACUUGUAUGAUGUCUUUUCUUCCCAAUGAAUACCAAUUACGUGUUCAAACUGUCAAUUUUGUCAAUACUGUAUAAUCAUAAUAAUCAGAAGGGCAUUUUGACAUACGUAACAUUUCAAUGUGAUUGUAAUAGAUUUUUUCCCGUUUGAUUACGCUGCAAGGGUCAUAUGAAUUAAACACAAUAUAUUCGACUAUGAAACGCGAAUAAAAAUCUGAAAGUGCAGUGUACAUUUUAGUACGUCGUUCUUUUUCAAUACUGCAAGGCAGAUAUUAUGUGAACUGCAUACGGAAAUAUUUCAGUAUGAGAAAAAAACUGCUAACAGGUGGUUCUGUAAAUCAAAACUGAUCAAGCAGUCUAUUAAGAUAGGGCUCAACCUGGAAUGUCCAAAAAACAUUGCUGUUAUAUGACGUAUGAUUGAUAAAGACGCCAGGUACAAGUUAUCUAAGAUAGCGUAUCUUGGCAUAUCAACGGGGAGAACUCUUGAGAUUCUCAGCCCGCAAUUUGGUUUAAAAAGGGUGUGCCCAAUGGUUGCCUUACGUGUUAACCUGGGAACAAAAGGUCAAAAGUGUCAAAUGUGAGAAAGUUCUCAAUGUUACAGCUCUUAACAGUAGAUCGGACAUGGAUAUACUUUUAUGAGCCUCUGUGUUUAUUUAAAAGUGUAACUGGACAGAAGUCUUACCAUUUUCAUUUGUAAUUAAUUUUCGGUCAUUUUCAGUAUGGUCGUCGCCAUUUGGGAAGCUCUUCAAAAUGUUAAAAUAAUACGUCUUUUAUCAGUGGUUAGAAUUUACUAUUCUGUAUUUUUACUUGUUACUGUAUUUCAUUCGUCUGAGAACUUGUUUAUGCCUUGUUAAUGCUUUAAUUAACCAAUAGAUUGUAAUAUAUUCUAUUUAUGACCGCAUAUAGCCAGAGUAGUGUAUCAGUCGGUCAGAUACUGGACCUGUAACGUCGGUAUAAGGAAGCCAUAGCCUUGACAAGUAAAUCUGGACUUAGUCCAAUGCAAUUAACGAUCAUCGUUGAUCUUAAUACAGCCACACAUCUAUAUAAUAUCUUCAAUUACAUUAAUAUAAAAUAAAAUAAUUCUCAAAAUAUCUCUAAAAUAUAAUUCCUUAAUAUCUAUCCAGUAGAUUAGUAUAAUACAAUAUAUACAAAAUAAAAUAUAAUAGUCACAAUAAAUUUCUUAGUUGUUAGGUACAGUGUCCAAUAUUCAGUUCCACUGAGUAAUACGUGUUUGUGAGUAUCCGCCCGUCUGGUAAUUUAACCAGAGGAAAGUUUUAAAGAAACAAAGUACCGAAAGCUGUUAAGCGAAAAUACAAACAAAAUGCAUUUAAGGACUGGUCCUUACGGUCCCCACUUCAUCCAUGAUAUUGCUGCGGCUCAUAAAAUAGCCAUCGUUCAAAUGUUUCUGAGAGUUGAAAAAUUGGUACAAAUCAGCCAUCCCGCCAAUUCAUCAAAUCUAAGUCCUAGUGACUUUUCGAUAACAGCACUUUUGAGUGGUAUGUUUUGUAACUAAGGACCAAACCGCGGGGAGAGGACUCUGCAGCAUUCACCUCCUGGAUGUCUCGACAGUGAAAAUGCGUGGAAGUAUCGAGAGAAUAUAUUGAAAAGUUAUACUAAAUUUUAAUUCUGUACACAGGUUGUAUACCGUAUUCAGGCACGAAUGUCUUUAUUUUUCAAUGACCGUAGUCUAACGAGCAAGGUAGUUAAUAUAAAAUUUGAUUUAAGUUGGUCCGGAAAAGCCUAUUUUAAUGUCUGAAUUUAAUGAUAAAAGAAUUAUGUAUACAGAAUCUGAACAUAUAAGAUUGGUAGGCUCGUAAAAAAAGAUUUCAAAGGCAUUUCAAUGUUUUUUAUAACACUCGCGUACGAACGUAAUAUGAGGGGCGAUCGGAAAAUGUCAAGACUUUCUAUGCUCUUGUCUUUCCUUGCGCGAAAAAAUCAGAUGAUAACAGCGCUGUUCAUUAUGUCUUUUUCUCAAUGGUUCCAGUUAUUUGCGCGUAUUUCCAUUAAUGGCAGAAUGAAUUUCUUUAUAUAUUUUUUUCAGUUUAAAUAUCGUCCUAGCAUGGAAACGUUUUGCAUGUUUUAAUAUUUGUAGCCUUGCAAUAGAUACAAAAAAUAUAAGCCUAUUUAUAGUCGAAUAAAUGACUAAAAUAUAUGCUUUGAAGCUGUUUGUACGGUCACCUAAAAUACUAUUGUCACCAUUUUGCUUUCAUUACUUUAUAUAUAUAUUAUAAUAAUUGUAAGAGUCAUAUUUCGUUUACUAUUCUUAUAACAAUGUUAAAGCAGGAAAUACCAACCCUGAUGAAAUCUUACUUUGGCUAAAAAGAUCAUGUCAGAAUAG